rnacentral:rRNA from 1 species
GACGAACGCUGGCGGCGUGCUUAACACAUGCAAGUCGAACGGAAAGGCCCUGCUUUUGUGGGGUGCUCGAGUGGCGAACGGGUGAGUAACACGUGAGUAACCUGCCCUUGACUUUGGGAUAACUUCAGGAAACUGGGGCUAAUACCGGAUAGGAGCUCCUGCUGCAUGGUGGGGGUUGGAAAGUUUCGGCGGUUGGGGAUGGACUCGCGGCUUAUCAGCUUGUUGGUGGGGUAGUGGCUUACCAAGGCUUUGACGGGUAGCCGGCCUGAGAGGGUGACCGGCCACAUUGGGACUGAGAUACGGCCCAGACUCCUACGGGGGGCAGCAGUGGGGAAUAUCGCACAAUGGGCGGAAGCCUGAUGCAGCAACGCCGCGUGCGGGAUGACGGCCUUCGGGUUGUAAACCGCUUUCGCCUGUGACGAAGCGUGAGUGACGGUAAUGGGUAAAGAAGCACCGGCUAACUACGUG